rfam:Salmo salar isolate Sally breed double haploid chromosome ssa18, whole genome shotgun sequence.
GAAUGGACUAACUGUAAGUCGCUCUGGAUAAGAGAGUCUGCUAAAUGACAAAAA